UCCAGACUUCUCAACCCACGAAUGCCAAAGACAACUUAGGCAUCAUACCCCAAGACGGGCCAUGCUCGCCGCACUUCAUGGAACUCUGCACAGGGGCUGGUCUUUCAAAGCUCUCGUAUGCCGUGGUCACCGCCUGGGUCACUCCUCCAGUUUGGCUCAUUUCAUUCUGCGUCAGUCCAUACAGGUCUUCCUGGCUUUCGUCCUGCCUUUGUGGGAUUUGGACUUUAUUUCUCCUUUCCUAACUCAGCUCCAGAUAUUUCUACAUCUGACACUAGCUGCAAGAAUGGGCAUAUGGCUUAAUUUCUUGGAGCCUCAGUUUUCUCAUCUGUAAACGGAAUAAUAAUAGUGCCUACCUCCCAGGGUUGUUGUGAAGAUCAAACGAACCGACCCAAAGCAUUCUGACAACCUGAAAGCCCUAUAGAAAUGUUAGCUAUUAUUAUUAAUAAUAGAGGAAAACUGGAAAGGCAAGCUUCAACCAAAUUUAAAGAAAAAUUCCCUAUGUAAAGUGGAAUGAGCUGCCUUGAGAGAUAGUGGAUUUCCCUGUACUGGGAGUCCUCCAAGCAGAAGCCGGAGGACCACUUUUGGGGUGGGACAGUGGAGACCCUUUCAAGUACACAGUGGGGUGGAGAAUCUGGGGGUGCCAUCCUUUCUGGCUCGGAGUCUGUGGCUGUUCAUUGCUCAAAAAGUCUCCAAUGGGAAGCCUUUCCUGAUUUACCAGGGUCCCCUCUGACCUCACGUUGCCCCUCCUUGGUGUCUGAUGCCAGGGUCCUCUAACCAGCUCCAUGUGCCAGUACUGUCAGCUUUAGGAGGGCCAGCAGGGCCUUUGUCUCAUCUAAACCCAGCAUUUCCCCAAGGGUUCACUGGGGAUUCUGCAUGCAAGGAUAUUUAUGCCUUCAUGACGCACUGCCACCCCCCACCCCAAAGCAAUGAGGCUUCCAAACCACCCCUCCAUCCUAUCCCUUGGCUGAGCUUGUGAGACCCACAGGCAGAAGGGCAGGCCAGGACACAUCCUGAAGGCCCAGGCUUCAAGAAGUAAUGGUUCCUGGGGGCCCAGCAGCCCCUGCCAACACAGGCUGUCUGGGUGUGACUUAUGGAGACUGGGAACUGCGACUAAGCCCACGAAAAACGUCCCAAUAAAGUGUGAUAUGAAGCAAACUAUCAAUGCCAGACACCUUCUGCUGAACAUGGAGAAAGGGGAGCGUGUGAGCAUGUGUGUGGUACUCCAGGGUGGGGAAUAGGCUGUGGGGAGCAGAGCCCAAGCCUGGCCCCUUUAUUCCAGAGGCAAUGGCUGGGCAAGUACCAGAGGAUGCUGGAAAAAGAAGUGAUGAAAGGCCUAUAACGUCACCACACUGAGACACUGAGGAGCCAUAUCAGCUUCCACCACCAAAGGAAAGAAAGGUGUUUGGCAAAAAACCUAAGAUCUGCCCCCAGACUGAUAAACUAACAGCACCACCAGAAAAGAAUUGGGACCACUUCCCUUAAAACCAAACUCUCACACAAGAAGGACAAUUCCAAUUGGCAAACUGAUGCAAAAUAUUUAUUCCAAGUUAGUUAUUUUUGAUGCAGUAGUUUUUCCCCUUAUACAGACUCAUGUGAUAACCACUUUUUAAAAUCUGUAAAUAAUGUUAUCAAAAUAAUCUUAAUCUUUGAAAUCUCACAAAAAUUUAUAUUUUACAAUCCACCCUGAAUAUCAAGGCUGCAAGAAGAACACAACAAUUCCUAUAUCCAAAUAUUUUACAGCUGUACCCAAAAAGGAAAAAAGGAAACCCACAAAUGCUUGGUUAAGUGAUGAAAGCUGCCCGAGCCGCCAAAAAUGAAAGAAAAUUAAAAAUCCAUGUUAUUUGCAUUAAUUUAACACAAUUAUAACUUCCAUAGUCAUUUUGUCAUUGACAAUGAUUGUUUGAGCACAUUGUGAGUAGCCCCGGGCUCCCGAGGACCCAGGGCAGGCAGGGGGGGCUGGCUGGGGUGGGCGGGGCUGCAUUAGAAAGCUAUGGCUGCCAAAGUCCGGCUCUUGUUCACUUCUGCCACCAGCUCUGUCAACACAUUUAUUGUCCUACACACACAAGCUGCACACAAACUUGUGUGUAUGUGUGUACUUAUAUAUUUAUUUUAUUUUUUUGUCACAAAUUUCCCACCUAUACAAACUUGCCUCUAUUAAGCAUAGAACAGGCUGGACCAAAAAAGAAAAAAAAAAA